AGGAUGGCGACCGGCGCACGGGUGAGUAACACGUAUCCAACCUGCCGAUAACUCGGGGAUAGCCUUUCGAAAGAAAGAUUAAUACCCGAUGGUAUAAUCAGACCGCAUGGUCUUGUUAUUAAAGAAUUUCGGUUAUCGAUGGGGAUGCGUUCCAUUAGGCAGUUGGUGAGGUAACGGCUCACCAAACCUUCGAUGGAUAGGGGUUCUGAGAGGAAGGUCCCCCACAUUGGAACUGAGACACGGUCCAA
rnacentral:rRNA from 1 species